CCUACGGGAGGCAGCAGUAGGGAAUAUUGCUCAAUGGGGGAAACCCUGACGCAGCAACGCCGCGUGGAGGAUGAAGGUUUUCGGAUUGUAAACUCCUUUUGUUAGCGAAGAUAAUGACGGUAUCUAACGACUAAGCACCGGCUAACUCCGUGCCAGCAGCCGCGGUAAUACGGAGGGUGCAAGCGUUACUCGGAAUCACUGGGCGUAAGGUGCGCGUAGGCGGGAUAGCAAGUCAGAUGUGAAAGCCUAUGGCUUAACCAUAGAACUGCAUUUGAAACUGUGAUUCUAGAGUAUGGUAGAGGUAGGUGGAAUUCUUGGUGUAGGGGUAAAAUCCGUAGAGAUCAAGAGGAAUACUCAUUGCGAAGGCGACCUGUUAGAACAGUACUGACGCUGAUGCGCGAAAGCGUGGGGAGCAAACAGGAUUAGAUACCCCAGUAGUC
rnacentral:rRNA from 1 species